rnacentral:rRNA from 1 species
AAGACCUCGCGCUAUUAGAGCGGCUGAUGCCCGAUUAGCUAGUUGGUGAGGUAAUGGCCCACCAAGGCAACGAUCGGUAGCUGGUCUGAGAGGAUGAUCAGCCACACUGGGACUGAGACACGGCCCAGACUCCUACGGGAGGCAGCAGUGGGGAAUUUUGGACAAUGGGCGAAAGCCUGAUCCAGCCAUGCCGCGUGAGUGAAGAAGGCCUUCGGGUUGUAAAGCUCUUUCAGCCGGAACGAAAUCGUCCGGGCUAAUACUCCGGAUGGAUGACGGUACUGGAAGAAGAAGCACCGGCUAACUACGUGCCAGCAGCCGCGGUAAUACGUAGGGUGCAGGCGUUAAUCGGAAUUACUGGGCGUAAAGCGUGCGCAGGCGGCUUUUCAAGUCAGAUGUGAAAUCCCCGGGCUUAACCUGGGAACU